AACGAACGUUGGCGGCGUGGAUUAGGCAUGCAAGUCGAGCGAAUCCCCGCAAGGGGGGAAGCGGCGAAAGGGGCAGUAAGGCGUGGGUAACCUACCCCGGGGACUGGUAUAGCCCUUCGAGAGAAGGGGUAAUCCCGGGCGACGUGUCGAGGGGGCAUCUCCUUACCACCAAAUGAGUUUCGCCCCGGGAGGGGCCCACGUGAUAUUAGCUAGUUGGUAGGGUAACGGCCUACCAAGGCGAAGAUGUCUAGCGGGUGUGAGAGCACGACCCGCGCCACUGGCACUGAGACACUGGCCAGACACCUACGGGUGGCUGCAGUCGAGGAUCUUCGGCAAUGGGCGCAAGCCUGACCGAGCGACGCCGCGUGGGCGAUGAAGGCCUUCGGGUUGUAAAGCCCUGUCGAGGGGGAGAAAGUGGAAACUUGAUCUAUCCCUGGAGGAAGCACGGGCUAAGUUCGUGCCAGCCGCCGCUGUAACAC
rnacentral:rRNA from 1 species